rnacentral:rRNA from 1 species
AUUGAACGCUGGCGGCAUGCCUUACACAUGCAAGUCGAACGGCAGCACGGGGCAACCUGGUGGCGAGUGGCGAACGGGUGAGUAAUGCAUCGGAACGUACCUUUCAGUGGGGGAUAACGUAGCGAAAGUUACGCUAAUACCGCAUAUUCUGUGAGCAGGAAAGCAGGGGAUCGCAAGACCUUGCGCUGAUUGAGCGGCCGAUGUCAGAUUAGCUAGUUGGUGAGGUAAAGGCUCACCAAGGCGACGAUCUGUAGCGGGUCUGAGAGGAUGAUCCGCCACACUGGAACUGAGACACGGUCCAGACUCCUACGGGAGGCAGCAGUGGGGAAUUUUGGACAAUGGGGGCAACCCUGAUCCAGCCAUGCCGCGUGAGUGAAGAAGGCCUUCGGGUUGUAAAGCUCUUUCGGCCGGGAAGAAAUCGCACGGGCUAAUACCCUGUGUGGAUGACGGUACCGGAAUAAGAAGCACCGGCUAACUACGUGCCAGCAGCCGCGGUAA